rnacentral:rRNA from 1 species
AGGUGUUGAGUAGCGUGGCGGACGGACGAGUAACACGUAAUCAAGCUGCCUGCGAGACGGGGAUAACCUCGGGAAACCGAGGCUAAGACCCGAUGGUCUGCCGGGACCGCAUGGUUUUGGCAGUAAAUGGGCGGGAUCCUUCGGGAUCGCCUGCUCGCAGAGGUGAUUGCGGCCCAUCAGCUAGUUGGUAGGGUAACGGCCUACCAAGGCAACGACGGGUAGCCGGCCUAAGAGGGUGGUCGGCCGCACUGGGACUGAGACACUGCCCAGACUCCUACGGGAGGCUGCGGUCGAGAAUCUUCCGCAAUGGGCGAAAGCCUGACGGAGCGACGCCGCGUGGAGGACGAAGGCCUUCGGGUUGUAAACUCCUGUCACGAGUUAAGAAGGCGCAUGUGCGAACAGCAUAGGCGUUUGACGUAAGCUCGAGAGGAAGCACUGGCUAACUCUGUGCCAGCAGCCGCGGUAAUACAGAGAGUGCAAACGUUGUUCGGAAUUACUGGGCUUAAAGCGCGCGUAGGCGGCAUUGUAAGUGUCUGGUGAAAUCCCACGGCUCACCCGUGGAACUGCCGGGCAUACUGCGGUGCUAGAGUGUGGUAGGGGAGAGCGGAACUCCUGGUGGAGCGGUGAAAUGCGUAGAUAUCAGGAGGAACACCGGUGGCGAAGGCGGCUCUCUGGUCCAUAACUGACGCUGAGGUGCGAAAGCUAGGGGAGCAAACGGGAUUAGAUACCCCGGUAGUCCUAGCUGUAAACGAUGGGCACUAGCUUGGGGUCUCCCUGUGUGAUCCCAGGUGAAGCAAAAGUGAUAAGUGCCCCGCCUGGGGAGUAUGGUCGCAAGGCUGAAACUCAAAGGAAUUGACGG